rnacentral:rRNA from 1 species
CUACGGGCUGCAGCAGUGAGGGAUUUUGCGCAAUGGGGGAAACCCUGACGCAGCAACGCCGCGUGAGUGAAGAAGGCCCUUGGGUCGUAAAGCUCUGUCAACAGGGAAGAAGUUACUUUGUAUUAAUAGUAUGAGGUAUUGACGGUACCUGUGAAGGAAGCACCGGCUAACUCCGUGCCAGCAGCCGUGGUAAUACGGGGGGUGCAAGCGUUAUUCGGAAUUAUUGGGCGUAAAGGGCACGCAGGCGGUCCUGUCAGUCAGAUGUGAAAGCCCGGGGCUCAACCCCGGACGUGCAUUUGAAACAGCAGGACUUGAGUACGGGAGAGGAAAGGGGAAUUCCUGGUGUAGAGGUGAAAUUCGUAGAUAUCAGGAGGAACACCGGUGGCGAAGGCGCCUUUCUGGACCGAUACUGACGCUGAGGUGCGAAGGCGUGGGUAGCGAACGGGAUUAGAUACCCCCGUAGUC